rnacentral:rRNA from 1 species
GACGAACGCUGGCGGCGUGCUUAACACAUGCAAGUCGAACGAUGAACUGGAGCUUGCUUCAGGGAUUAGUGGCGAACGGGUGAGUAACACGUGAGUAACCUGCCCUUGACUCUGGGAUAAGCGCUGGAAACGGCGUCUAAUACCGGAUAUGACCUUCCCCGGCAUCGGGUGGGGGUGGAAAGAUUUUUUGGUCAAGGAUGGACUCGCGGCCUAUCAGCUUGUUGGUGAGGUAAUGGCUUACCAAGGCGACGACGGGUAGCCGGCCUGAGAGGGUGACCGGCCACACUGGGACUGAGACACGGCCCAGACUCCUACGGGAGGCAGCAGUGGGGAAUAUUGCACAAUGGGCGCAAGCCUGAUGCAGCAACGCCGCGUGAGGGAUGACGGCCUUCGGGUUGUAAACCUCUUUUAGCAGGGAAGAAGCGAAAGUGACGGUACCUGCAGAAAAAGCACCGGCUAACUACGUGCCAGCCGCCGCAGUAAAAC